GUGAGGAAUAUUGGUCAAUGGGCGGGAGCCUGAACCAGCCAAGUCGCGUGAAGGAAGAAGGAUCUAUGGUUCGUAAACUUCUUUUGCAGGGGAAUAAAGUGCAGGACGUGUUCUGUUUUGUAUGUACCCUGAGAAUAAGGAUCGGCUAACUCCGUGCCAGCAGCCGCGGUAAUACGGAGGAUCCGAGCGUUAUCCGGAUUUAUUGGGUUUAAAGGGUGCGUAGGUGGUGUGAUAAGUCAGCGGUGAAAGUUUGCAGCUUAACUGUAAAAAUGCCGUUGAAACUGUCGGACUUGAGUGUAAAUGAGGUAGGCGGAAUGCGUGGUGUAGCGGUGAAAUGCAUAGAUAUCACGCAGAACUCCGAUUGCGAAGGCAGCUUACUAAGCUACAACUGACACUGAAGCACGAAAGCGUGGGGAGCAAACAGGAUUAGAUACCCGGGUAGUCC
rnacentral:rRNA from 1 species